rnacentral:rRNA from 2 species
UGCAAGUCGAGCGAAUCGACGGGAGCUUGCUCCCUGAGAUUAGCGGCGGACGGGUGAGUAACACGUGGGCAACCUGCCUAUAAGACUGGGAUAACUUCGGGAAACCGGAGCUAAUACCGGAUACGUUCUUUUCUCGCAUGAGAGAAGAUGGAAAGACGGUUUACGCUGUCACUUAUAGAUGGGCCCGCGGCGCAUUAGCUAGUUGGUGAGGUAAUGGCUCACCAAGGCGACGAUGCGUAGCCGACCUGAGAGGGUGAUCGGCCACACUGGGACUGAGACACGGCCCAGACUCCUACGGGAGGCAGCAGUAGGGAAUCUUCCGCAAUGGACGAAAGUCUGACGGAGCAACGCCGCGUGAACGAAGAAGGCCUUCGGGUCGUAAAGUUCUGUUGUUAGGGAAGAACAAGUACCAGAGUAACUGCUGGUACCUUGACGGUACCUAACCAGAAAGCCACGGCUAACUACGUGCCAGCAGCCGCGGUAAUACGUAGGUGGCAAGCGUUGUCCGGAAUUAUUGGGCGUAAAGCGCGCGCAGGUGGUUCCUUAAGUCUGAUGUGAAAGCCCACGGCUCAACCGUGGAGGGUCAUUGGAAACUGGGGAACUUGAGUGCAGAAGAGGAAAGUGGAAUUCCAAGUGUAG